UACAGAGGGGGCAAGCGUUGUUCGGAAUUACUGGGCGUAAAGGGCGCGUAGGCGGCCUUCUAAGUCGAACGUGAAAUCCCCGGGCUCAACCUGGGGGCUGCGCUUGAUACUGAUUGGCUUGAAUGCGGGAGAGGAUAGUGGAAUUCCCAGUGUAGAGGUGAAAUUCGUAGAUAUUGGGAAGAACACCGGUGGCGAAGGCGGCUAUCUGGCCCGUAAUUGACGCUGAGGCGCGAAAGCGUGGGGAGCAAACAGG
rnacentral:rRNA from 1 species